GUGCUAGUGCCACAAGAGCAAAGACAAAGGAAAAGAAGCGGCGGAUUAGUACGGCUCACGUGCUGCCAGUCGUCCUACUGUCAAGGCUCGCCGAGAAUAAACCUGCGCAAUGCUCAAGAAGAAGGCAAGCUGUUUGGCCGCGGACAUCAUGCGUCAUGGCCGCAAAGCCGAGUCCGAGAUGGUGCCGCUCACCGACAAUUCCACCUGCGGCUCAAGCUGGAGCGAGCAAGGCACGGAGGAGACGACCUCUUCGACCUUCGCGGUCGUGGCAGAAGCGAAUAGACGCGGCCGACAGGAAGAGGAGCUCGACCAGCAGCGACAGCGACGAAGUCGGCGCGCCUCGUCAGCGUUUUUGGUAGCAUCGGAGCCGGAUGACUGUCAGCAGUCGGUCCCGAGUGUACGCGGAGCCUUGCCAAAGCCGAACCGGCAGCAGUGGUCCUCCAUGUUGUUCGUCCAGUUGUCAGUCGUGGUUGUGGCGCUGGCGGUUGCCGCUACCAUCGCCCUGGUGUUCGCGCUGCGUGACGCCGAGGUGCAGAAUCAGAUUAGCAGUCGACCCUCGGACGACGACAGCGGAAGCGACGAAGUUAGCGGCGACCAACUCGCCUUCGAGCCCGGCGCGAUCCAGCGCCGCAGCGCCGACGUCGAGGACCAAGCCCGUCGGGCCACUCGCAAAACCAAUGCCGCCGCCAACCUAGAGAAACGAGUCAAGCUGGCUUCCGGUUCUUCGCCUUCCGCCGGAAGCGCUGGGAAGCGUGGACCCUCGACGUUCGAGAUCGGGCGCACUGCUCCCAGUUCGCCAGUUGGCGCCGGAGUUGUAUGGCUAGAGGACGAAACUUUAGGGCAAGUACGGCCGGAGGGAUUUCCUCCAGAACCACAGGGUCGAGCUUCUGAACUGGACGGAGAACGCCGACGCCAUUCUGCGUCACCUGACGACAACACAGCAUAUGGAGUGGCGAAGAGCAGAGACAACUCUUCGUCGACUGUUCUCGGUAAAAACGCAAACAAGGGGACCUUCGCGAAGGACGGCAGAAACGUGAAGCGAUUGAACCGAAAGGCUGUCUUAAGAAAACAGGGUGUCAUGGGACUUUUGGACGACUGAGACAACGUGACGCUAGGCUGCAGCCAAACAGGGGCCUCGCUGUCAAUUGUCCUACGCACUUCCUCGCGAAAUUUUUUGGCUAUGGAUACAACUUCUUUUCUCUGUAAACUUAUGUUUUCUAAUAAGACUGCUUACACUCCACGUGCUUAACGCUGGUGCUUGAGCCUACACAUUUUUGUUUGUUUUUAAAAGAGUAGUGACAACAUUUCGAAGUCCUAAUAACUUGCGAGAUUGAUUGCUUUCGAUAACACACAUCAUCUACACAAUAGCAAUAGCGAAUGUAACUUGAAACAUAAUUAAAAUCACGUUUAGAAUACGUGCGCACCCAAAAACCGCCAAGCGCAGCACCUGACGACAUUGGUGUCAACAACGUGGAUUUGUAAACUUCCCAGAGCAUAACAGCAGGGCUACGUCAUACGUUUGUGUUGGUUACCCGGCUCCUUAUGUGUGCUCUUGCCCAUCACACAACUUAGCCCUACAGUGCCGCACUCCCAUUCUUCUUCGGUUGUUAGUCAUAGCGGGAUGCCCUCCAUUUCAUUGCUACAGUUCUUGUCGCACCCGUUGAGAUUUCCCACACUUAUAUGCGUGGACUGGCUACGCACGAAACGCGAGUAAGGUACAAUGUCGAGUGCAUACGGCAUCGUUUCGUUCUGCCCAACGCAUUCAGAGAUGGGUAUCAUCAUUCAUUGAGAGAUGAAAUAGAUGGGAAAGGCAAGGAGGCCAACCGGUACACAUCGAGUUUGCUACCUUGCCUUGGAGAAGGUUUAAGUGGAGACAGAAAGAUCUUAAAAAAGCAAAAAAAAGUACACACAUAUGGAAAGGGUGUCAAAGGGAAACAAGGAAAAUCGAACACACGCACACACGCGCGCACACACGCACGCACACACGCG